CAGUAGCCACGGGAAUACGGAGGGUGCAAGCGUUAAUCGGAAUUACUGGGCGUAAAGCGCACGCAGGCGGUCUGUCAAGUCAGAUGUGAAAUCCCCGGGCUUAACCUGGGAACUGCAUUUGAAACUGGCAGGCUAGAGUCUUGUAGAGGGGGGUAGAAUUCCAGGUGUAGCGGUGAAAUGCGUAGAGAUCUGGAGGAAUACCGGUGGCGAAGGCGGCCCCCUGGACAAAGACUGACGCUCAGGUGCGAAAGCGUGGGGAGCGAACAGGAUUAGAUACCCCAGUAGUCCCUGUCUCUUAUAC
rnacentral:rRNA from 1 species